rfam:TPA: Bos taurus chromosome 11, whole genome shotgun sequence.
UGGCUCAGAGGUUAAAGCGUCUGCCUGGAAUGCGGGAGACCCGGGUUCGAUCCCUGG